GAUGAACGCUGGCGGCGUGCCUAAUACAUGCAAGUCGAGCGAACGGACGAGAAGCUUGCUUCUCUGAUGUUAGCGGCGGACGGGUGAGUAACACGUGGAUAACCUACCUAUAAGACUGGGAUAACUUCGGGAAGCCGGAGCUAAUACCGGAUGAUAUUUUGAACCGCAUGGUUCAAUAGUGAAAGACGGUCUUGCUGUCACUUAUAGAUGGAUCCGCGCUGCAUUAGCUAGUUGGUAAGGUAACGGCUUACCAAGGCAACGAUGCAUAGCCGACCUGAGAGGGUGAUCGGCCACACUGGAACUGAGACGCGGUCCAGACUCCUACGGGAGGCAGCAGUAGGGAAUCUUCCGCAAUGGGCGAAAGCCUGACGGAGCAACGCCGCGUGAGUGAUGAAGGUCUUCGGAUCGUAAAACUCUGUUAUUAGGGAAGAACAUAUGUGUAAGUAACUGUGCACAUCUUGACGGUACCUAAUCAGAAAGCCACGGCUAACUACGUG
rnacentral:rRNA from 1 species